AUGGAGGCGGCUCUUGUCAGCGUGGCGACAGGGGUACUAAAACCUGUCCUGGGGAAGCUGGCUGUUCUGCUCGGCAAAGAGUGCGAGCGUUUCAAAGGUGUGCGCAAGGAGAUCCAGUCUCUCACUCACGAGCUUGCUGCCAUGGAGGCUUUUCUCCUCAAGAUGUCGAAGGAGGAGGAUCCCGAUGAGCAGGAUAAAGUUUGGAUGAAUGAGGUGCGGGAGGUGUCAUACGACAUGGAGGAUGCCAUCGAUGACUUCAUGUUGUCUGUUGAUGACAAAGAUGCAAAGCCAGAUGGCUUCAUAGAUAAGAUCAAGUGCUCGCUAGGGAUGUUGGGGAAGAUGAAGGCUCGCUGUCGAAUUGGUAGAGAGAUACAAGAUCUGAAGAAACAGUUCAUUGAGGUGGGCGAUAGGAAUGCAAGGUACAAGACUCGCCAGACCUUCUCAAACACCAAAAAUGUCACCAUUGAUCCUAGAGCUCUUUCUAUGUUUGAGCAUGCCUCAAAGCUUGUCGGAAUUGAUGAACCCAAGCAUGAGAUUAUCAAACUGUUGACUGAAGAAGCGUCAACACAUGAGCAGCCGAAGCUGGGCUCCAUCAUAGGAACUGGAGGAAUGGGCAAGACCACUCUUGCAAACCAAGUGUAUGAAGACCUCCAAGAAAAUUUUGAAUGUCGGGCCUUCGUAUCUGUGUCACGAAAUCCGGACAUGAUGAAUAUCUUGAGAAUAAUUCAUAGUCAAGUUAGUGGUCUACCUUUUAAAGACACUAAAGCAGGGAGCAUAAAACAAGUUAUCAUGAAUAUCAGCAAUUUCAUAGUAAACAAAAGGUACAUUUUCUAUUUUUCUUUGCCUACUUACACUUCUUGA
rnacentral:rRNA from 1 species